UUUCAUCUUCUUUUCCUUCUUCUUUUCGCUGCUUUCUUCUGUUCUUCAGCCGAGUGAGGAAUUUGAGAGUGAAUUCGAGAAAAAUCAUCCGGUGGUGCUGAUAGAUGAUGGUGGGUUGUGGCGAUGAUGUUGUUUAGUCAAGAGAAGCCGAGGAAAUGAGAGGUUGGAGAAAAACAGAGAAUUCUGAGUUAGGGUUUCUGAGAAAUCAUUUGGAGUUCAAUUGGGCGACGAUUAAGAAGAUAUUAAAGAUAGUUUGGUCAAUCUGGUAAUCAUUAUGGUAUUAGGUCAUGCGUUGAUUCAAAAUCAGGAAGAAUCAAAAGACGGGUUUUCAAAUUGAUUUCAGAGUUGUGUGGAUUUGAGAUGUAGACCGAGUUGCUGAUGGAUUGAGAACUAAUGGGUACUUGUUUAAUUGAAGUUCUGAAGUUAAUUUGGUGAAGAUUGAAGAAUUAGGGUUUCUGAAGUGGGUGAAUAGAAGAAUCAAAGGAAAUAGAUGAUGGGUAAGCUUAGUUGGAGGUUAUGGUGAAUCCGAGAUGAAGAAGAACAAGAAUUGAAAGGUGAUAUUGGGAGUUAAGGUUAGGGUUUCAUAAGAAGGAACUCAGUGAAGCAAUUCAGAGGAUGUACGACCUGGGUAAGUUGUUAAAUUGCUUUAAUUGUGUUAUUAGAAGAAUGAAUGGUUAAAUUGUUGAUUUAAGAUGUUGAGUGAAAUUGAUAUGUUUUAGAUGAUGUGGUGGUAUAUGUGUACGAUUGUAUUACAGCUAGUGGUGCAGGUAGUAUACACAUGACAUAUAAGAGCUUAUGGGAAUGGUUUUAUGUGUUGUGAAGAACUGGAAGUUAGAUUCAGCUGGAAAUGAAGAAGAUGAAUGCUUUGAGAUUGCAUUGAUGAUGAUUUAUGGAACCGUUAGAGUUUGAAUUGCAGUUGAGGAUGAACUUGAGGGCAAGGAUGUCAUGGUAUUAGGAUUGAGGUUCAAUAGGUAUUAGAUAUGGUUAUGAAACUGAACUGGCAGUGUGAUGGGAGAAAUGAAAUGGAGUAAAAUACAUGGCGUUUCAGUUAGUGAAUGAAGGUCAUGAGCUACCUGAAGUGAUAAUGGUGGUUUGUUGAGUUUCAGGUGGGGUGUGCAGAGUGUUCUUGUUUUGGUAGUGGUGAUGCAGAUCAGUUCCUGGAGUUGGUAGUGUCACUGGAUUGAGUGCAUGUAGUUUUCAUUGCAAAUGAUUUGGUAGUUUUGAAUGAGAUGUUGUGACUGAAAUUAUAAAAGAGGAUUGGAUAAAUGUGUUGAGUUGAAUCUCUAAAGGAAAGCUUGUAGCUUCUGCAAUUGCAGUUAGUCUAUAUUAACAACGAUCGAUUCGAAGGAUGAAUCAGUGGAUCAUGGAUCUCGAGGUAGGCGUGGCUUGUCAUCAAAAGAGUUUCAGAGACAGAUCAGAGUUGCGCAGUGGAAGCUUCGAGGAGUUGAGUCAGUUAGUUAACUUCGGCUAUGUCUAUUAUGUUGUAUAUUCUAUUUAUAAACCAUAUGACUAUUCUAUAUAUGUAUCAUUUGAUAGAAGUUCUUGUAAUUAUAUAUUUCUGAGCUGGGCUAGUUUUUGGAUU